rnacentral:piRNA from 1 species
UGUUGUUAAUGUCCAGCCACUGGCUGAUCA